GUGAACGCUGGCGGCGUGCUUAACACAUGCAAGUCGAACGGUAACAGGAAGUAGCUUGCUACUUUGCUGACGAGUGGCGCACGGGUGAGUAAACUAUAGUUAAUGUGCCUCGAAGACUGGGAUAGCCACUGGAAACGGUGAUUAAUACCGGAUACUCCUUCUUGCCUCAAGGUAAGUCGGGAAAGUUUUUCGCUAAGGGAUCAGUCUAUGUUCCAUCAGGUAGUUGGUGAGGUAAUGGCUCACCAAGCCUAUGACGGAUAUCUGGUUUGAGAGGAUGAUCAGACACACUGGAACUGAGACACGGUCCAGACUCCUACGGGAGGCAGCAGUGAGGAAUAUUGCACAAUGGAGGAAACUCUGAUGCAGCAACGCCGCGUGGAGGAUGACGCAUUUCGGUGUGUAAACUCCUUUUAUUAGGGAAGAUAAUGACGGUACCUAAUGAAUAAGCACCGGCUAACUCCGU
rnacentral:rRNA from 1 species